rnacentral:rRNA from 1 species
UACGGGGGGGUGCGAGCGUUGUCCGGAAUCACUGGGCGUAAAGGGCGCGUAGGUGGCGUGAUAAGGGUGUGGUGAAAACCCAGGGCUCAACCCUGGGCCUGCAUUCGAUACGGGCAGACUAGAGUUCGGUAGGGGAGACUGGAAUUCCUGGUGUAGCGGUGAAAUGCGCAGAUAUCAGGAGGAACACCGAUGGCGAAGGCGGUUCUCUGGGCCUGACCUGACGCUGAGGAGCGAAAGCGUGGGGAGCGAACAGG